rnacentral:rRNA from 1 species
UACGUAGGUGGCAAGCGUUGUCCGGAAUUAUUGGGCGUAAAGCGCGCGCAGGCGGUCCUUUAAGUCUGAUGUGAAAGCCCACGGCUCAACCGUGGAGGGUCAUUGGAAACUGGGGGACUUGAGUGCAGAAGAGGAAAGCGGAAUUCCACGUGUAGCGGUGAAAUGCGUAGAGAUGUGGAGGAACACCAGUGGCGAAGGCGGCUUUCUGGUCUGUAACUGACGCUGAGGCGCGAAAGCAUGGGGGAGCGAACAGG